CACACACACACACACACACUCAUAAUUACUGAUCCCUCUCCCCCUUCGUUAGGCCUCCUGGAUCAGAGCAGCAGCUCCUGAAGCCCUGGAUCGUGGUGAACCUGGUGGUGGCUCUGCUGGUGGGUUUGGCCUGGGUGUUCAUCUCCACCCGGCCUGACAUGGACUACACCGAGGAGUUCCUGAUGGCGAUGGAGGUGGAGGAUUACAGACAUGAUGACAGGCUGGAUAUCCCAACCUGAGGUCAUCACUGAAGUGUCACAGAAAUGUUGAAGGGACAUUUUUUUUUGUACAGAUAACAUGUGAAUAGAUUAUAGCUGUGGGUAUUUUUUUAUUAAGAGAAAUAAAGGCUGUCGUGGAAAUGUU